UAACACGUGAGCAACCUACCUUCGAGUUGGGGAUAGCCCUGGGAAACCAGGAUUAAUACCCGAUGUGGUCACAACAGGACAUCCUGAUGUGAGUAAAGGCGUAAGCCGCUCGAUGACGGGCUCGCGGCCUAUUAGCUUGUUGGUGGGGUAACGGCCUACCAAGGCGAUGAUGGGUAGCUGGUCUGAGAGGACGAUCAGCCACACUGGAACUGAAACACGGUCCAG
rnacentral:rRNA from 1 species